AUUGAACGCUGGCGGCAUGCCUUACACAUGCAAGUCGAACGGUAACAGGUCUUCGGAUGCUGACGAGUGGCGAACGGGUGAGUAAUACAUCGGAACGUGCCUAGUAGUGGGGGAUAACUACUCGAAAGAGUGGCUAAUACCGCAUGAGAUCUACGGAUGAAAGCAGGGGAUCGCAAGAUCUUGUGCUACUAGAGCGGCCGGUGGCAGAUUAGGUAGUUGGUGGGAUAAAAGCUUACCAAGCCGACGAUCUGUAGCUGGUCUGAGAGGACGGUCAGCCACACUGGGACUGAGACACGGCCCAGACUCCUACGGGAGGCAGUAGUGGGGAAUUUUGGACAAUGGGCGAAAGCCUGAUCCAGCAAUGCCGCGUGCAGGAUGAAGGCCUUCGGGUUGUAAACUGCUUUUGUACGGAACGAAAAGCCCCGGGUUAAUACCCUGGGGUCAUGACGGUACCGUAAGAAUAAGCACCGGCUAACUACGUGCCAGCCGCCGCAGUAA
rnacentral:rRNA from 1 species